rnacentral:rRNA from 1 species
AUUGAACGCUGGCGGCAGGCUUAACACAUGCAAGUCGAGCGGAGAUGAGGUGCUUGCACCUUAUCUUAGCGGCGGACGGGUGAGUAAUGCUUAGGAAUCUGCCUAUUAGUGGGGGACAACAUUCCGAAAGGAAUGCUAAUACCGCAUACGUCCUACGGGAGAAAGCAGGGGAUCUUCGGACCUUGCGCUAACAGAUGAGCCUAAGUCGGAUUAGCUAGUAGGUGGGGUAAAGGCCUACCAAGGCGACGAUCUGUAGCGGGUCUGAGAGGAUGAUCCGCCACACUGGGACUGAGACACGGCCCAGACUCCUACGGGAGGCAGCAGUGGGGAAUAUUGGACAAUGGGGGGAACCCUGAUCCAGCCAUGCCGCGUGUGUGAAGAAGGCCUUAUGGUUGUAAAGCACUUUAAGCGAGGAGGAGGCUACUGAGACUAAUACUCUUGGACAGUGGACGUUACUCGCAGAAUAAGCACCGGCUAACUCUGUGCCAGCCGCCGCGGUAAAAC